GAUGAACGCUGGCGGCGUGCCUAAUACAUGCAAGUCGAGCGAACGGACGAGAAGCUUGCUUCUCUGAUGUUAUCGGCGGACGGGUGAGUAACACGUGGAUAACCUACCUAUAAGACUGGGAUAACUUCGGGAAACCGGAGCUAAUACCGGAUAAUAUUUUGAACCGCAUGGUUCAAAAGUGAAAGACGGUCUUGCUGUCACUUAUAGAUGGAUCCGCGCUGCAUUAGCUAGUUGGUAAGGUAACGGCUUACCAAGGCAACGAUGCAUAGCCGACCUGAGAGGGUGAUCGGCCACACUGGAACUGAGACACGGUCCAGACUCCUACGGGAGGCAGCAGUAGGGAAUCUUCCGCAAUGGGCGAAAGCCUGACGGAGCAACGCCGCGUGAGUGAUGAAGGUCUUCGGAUCGUAAAACUCUGUUAUUAGGGAAGAACAUAUGUGUAAGUAACUGUGCACAUCUUGACGUUACCUAAUCAGAAAGCCACGGCUAACUACGUG
rnacentral:rRNA from 1 species